AUUGAACGCUGGCGGCAGGCCUAACACAUGCAAGUCGAGCGGAUGAAGGGAGCUUGCUCCUGGAUUCAGCGGCGGACGGGUGAGUAAUGCCUAGGAAUCUGCCUGGUAGUGGGGGAUAACGUCCGGAAACGGGCGCUAAUACCGCAUACGUCCUGAGGGAGAAAGUGGGGGAUCUUCGGACCUCACGCUAUCAGAUGAGCCUAGGUCGGAUUAGCUAGUUGGUGGGGUAAAGGCCUACCAAGGCGACGAUCCGUAACUGGUCUGAGAGGAUGAUCAGUCACACUGGAACUGAGACACGGUCCAGACUCCUACGGGAGGCAGCAGUGGGGAAUAUUGGACAAUGGGCGAAAGCCUGAUCCAGCCAUGCAGCGUGUGUGAAGAAGGUCUUCGGAUUGUAAAGCACUUUAAGUUGGGAGGAAGGGCAGUAAGUUAAUACCUUGCUGUUUUGACGUUACCAACAUAAUAAGCACCGGCUAACUUCGUG
rnacentral:rRNA from 1 species